GUUUGCACUCAUCGGGGAAGGGUGAGAACCUUCGACUAAGGUUCGAUUCGAGCGAAAGCGAGAGAACGUUGCCACAGGCAACAGCCCGAAGGGUGAGGAGCGAAGCGACGAAUAAUCCUUCCCCCACCACCA
rnacentral:sRNA from 1 species